CGCGUACUAAAUUAUAAUCCUAGUACCUAUUUACACCACUUGGUCGAUACAACUGCUGGUAGACGUUUCGUCCCGAGGGUAUCACCAGCCCAGUAGUCAACACUUCGGUGUUGACAUGAAUAUCAAUAAUUUGGUCAUUUUUAUGAAUUUCCUGUUUAUAAAACUUUGAUUUUUUCGAAAAACUCAGGAUUUUCUUAUCCCAGGCA
rnacentral:lncRNA from 1 species